AAUGAACGCUGGCGGCAUGCCUAACACAUGCAAGUCGAACGAAGGCUUCGGCCUUAGUGGCGCACGGGUGCGUAACGCGUGGGAAUCUGCCCUCAGGUUCGGAAUAACAGCGAGAAAUUGCUGCUAAUACCGGAUGAUAUCGCGAGAUCAAAGAUUUAUCGCCUGAGGAUGAGCCCGCGUAGGAUUAGCUAGUUGGUGUGGUAAAGGCGCACCAAGGCGACGAUCCUUAGCUGGUCUGAGAGGAUGAUCAGCCACACUGGGACUGAGUCACGGCCCAGACUCCUACGGGAGGCAGCAGUGGGGAAUAUUGGACAAUGGGCGAAAGCCUGAUCCAGCAAUGCCGCGUGAGUGAUGAAGGCCUUAGGGUUGUAAAGCUCUUUUACCCGGGAUGAUAAUGACAGUACCGGGAGAAUAAGCUCCGGCUAACUCCGUGCCAGCAGCCGCGGUAAUACGGAGGGAGCUAGCGUUAUUCGGAAUUACUGGGCGUAAAGCGCACGUAGGCGGCUUUGUAAGUUAGAGGUGAAAGCCUGGAGCUCAACUCCAGAAUUGCCUUUAAGACUGCAUCGCUUGAAUCCAGGAGAGGUGAGUGGGAUUCCGAGUGUAGAGGUGAAAUUCGUAGAUAUUCGGAAGAACACCAGUGGCGAAGGCGGCUCACUGGACUGGUAUUGACGCUGAGGUGCGAAAGCGUGGGGAGCAAACAGG
rnacentral:rRNA from 1 species